UACAGAGGGUGCAAGCGUUGUUCGGAAUUAUUGGGCGUAAAGCGCGUGUAGGCGGCUUUGCAAGUCGGGUGUGAAAGCCCUCAGCUUAACUGAGGAAGGGCGCCCGAAACUGCAGAGCUUGAGUACCGGAGAGGAUGGCGGAAUUCCCCAAGUAGAGGUGAAAUUCGUAGAUAUGGGGAGGAACACCGGUGGCGAAGGCGGCCAUCUGGACGGAUACUGACGCUGAGACGCGAAAGCGUGGGUAGCAAACAGG
rnacentral:rRNA from 1 species